AAACCCCAUAGCAAAGGUUGGUGAUCAAGAAGUUCCAUGGCUUAGGUUGGUGACCUCCAUUGAACUUUGGAGUGGUGCUUGCCUAAGGUCUGUCUAUUGUGGCAGAUCAUAUGUCAUAAAUAAUUUGUGGCAGUGGGGGAAUGGACUUGUGCGACCCCUUC